rnacentral:rRNA from 1 species
AAAUUCGCCUUCAUGAAGCUGGAAUUGCUAGUAAUGGCAGGUCAGCAUACUGCCGUGAAUACGUUCCCGGGCCUUGUACACACCGCCCGUCACACCAUGAGAGUUGGAAAUACCCGAAGCCUGUGAGCUAACUUUUAGAGGCAGCAGUCGAAGGUAGAGCCAAUGAUUGGGGUGAAGUCGUAACAAGGUACC